UUUGGAGUGGAACGCAGCCCUGGUCUAUAUGAUUGUCCCACUUCAGGUCCUAAAAGAGAUGGUGCACUGUAAUGAAUUGCUGUAAAAAUUACAGCAAUAUUUUACAGCCGAUGGCUGUAUUUUAAUAAUACAGCAUAUUGCUGUAAACUGCUGUAAAUUUCAAAUAUACAGAGGCAUUGUGGGAUCUCCAACGGUCAAGAUUCGGGUAGCAGCAAGAGGAGUGAUUUACAACUGUGGCACUUUGUAGGUAUUUAUCCGGAGAGAGGAACAAAGACGAAAGGAAAAGUGCCAUCUAAAACAACAGGCCAGACAGUUCAGAAGAAACGGGAUGUGUUCAACCUACAUGCCACUCUUCUGUGGAAAGUGACGGAUUUUCAGUGGAAUUUCUGAAAUUAUUUCUAGCCUCUCUUUGAAUCCUGGGAUGGAACAUCAUCUGGAGCAGAAUUGUUCUUUUUUGAUCGCAAGUUUGUUGGACUUGUUGUUUGGCCAUGUUGGUAUGUUCAUGAAGUGAUAAAAAUGAUCCGGAUUUUAAGAAAUGUUUUUAUAUGACCCUGUUGGUCAAGUUAUAGUUAUAAUUGUAUUUCUUUGUGUGAAGGGCCAUGAUGGCCAAUAAGUAAUUUAAAAACAUUUUCAUGACAAAAUUUUGUCCAUUUAAAAAAUAAAAUGGUUUUCUAAAUAAAAAAUAAAUUCAAAA